rnacentral:rRNA from 1 species
UUUAAGCUAAUAAAAUAUAUUAAAGCUAGUUAGGGGGAAAUAUAAGUGUAUUAUUAAUAAUAAAAGGUGAAAUUAGGUUAUUAUUAAAUAAAUAAAGUAUAUUGAGACUGAAGCUAAAAAGGUUUAAUUAUAAACUAGGAUUAGAUACCCUAUUAUUUUAAACUAUAAGUGGUAAUAAGCUUUAGACAAGUAGUAGAUAAAUACUUAAAAAUUAAAAAAUUUGGCGGUGAUUUAAUCUUUUCAGAGGAACUUGUUUUUUAAUCGAUAAACCACGUUUAAUCUUACUUAUUUUAGUAUAAUCAGUAUGUAUACCAUCAUUAUCAGGUGAUUUUUAAAAAAGGGAAUUACUAAAAACAAUUGGUUAAGAAAAUUAGAUCAUGGUGCAGCUUAUAAAUAAGGUAAAAUGAGUUACAAUAAAGUUUUUUAAAAACGGAUUAGUAGAGUAAGAAUUUACUAUGAAGGUGGAUUUGAUUGUAAAUAUGGAUUAAUAAGCUUAAUUGAUAUUGGUUCUAAAUCAU